rnacentral:pre_miRNA from 1 species
CCCAUACCCAUAUGUGUAGGACCUCAAAGGAUCACUAUUAAAUUUGGUACAGAUCUCUAAAAAAGUUAUCACAUAGUGUGGAACUUGACUUUUCUAGUUAUCUGUGUCAAAUUUAAUGGUGAUCCUUUGGGGUCCUACACACAUGGGUGUGGG